UUUUUUGGGGUGGUGUGUGGUGAGGAGAGAGAGGGGCGUGGGGGAGCAGGUUUGUGGUUUGGGAUCGGAGGCGUGCGGUGGUGGGUGGGUGGCGGAGCAGGAAGGGUGUCGAGCGGCGGCUGCUGGAGAGGAGAGGGUAGACGAAGGGAGGGUAUCGUGCGCCUUGCGCGGCGGCAGAGGAGGGACUAGGUUGCGCGGCGGCAGAGGAGGGGCUAGUUCUAGCUUGUGUAGCGGCAGAGGAGGGGCUAGGUUGCGCAGCCGCAGAGGAGGGAUUAGAUCUAGGUUGUGCGGCGGCGGAGGAGGGGUUAGGGGACUAGCUAUACGACCGAGAGAGUGGAACGGCCGUCCAGGGAGGCGGUGGGGAGGAGGGGGACAGGGCUGGGGGACGCGGUGUACAGCCUCGAGCCUAGCACGUGACGACAAGCAACCGCCCGACUCCGCCCGCAGGCCCGCACGCGGUACCUGCACCUGUCGUAACUCACGGAGAACGACGGGUUGCGGCUGUACCUACGCCUGCUACAGCUGGAGCGGGAGGUGGGCGUGCCGCCCUAGGAGCAGCGGCGGCGGCGGAGGGUGGGCCGGCGGAUGGGGUUCCGGCGGUAGCCGCGCCAACCGUAGCAGCGCGGCGCCUCAUCGCACGUGCUCGAAGAGCUCACGGGGCAGACGUGGUUGAGGUACAUGGGCGACUAGGUGGUCCAAAUAACUAAAACGGGCGGGGGAAGAACUAAGACCGCGCUGCACGACACACAGCCCACACGAACCUCGGAACCUGAACCAGACGAAGCCCUGGCCCCGGCUAAGAACCCAAGUUUACCCCUAGACCCAAACCCUUUAGCUAUCAAAGGUUAACGUAUCGAUCACAGCUUAAAAACCCCCUAUAACCACAUCACUUAACAGACAGUAAAGUGUAUACGACCCUAAAACCAGUGCACGAGACGGCAUUAGUUUGCUUUUAUCGUAUACAUAAGGAACAUAGUAACAAGAACAAGUAACCCUAAAACCCACUAGGAAAGGACGGUACAUCUCCUAAUUCUUUUCCAAUAUUAAAUCCUAUAACGUUUGUUCGUACGAUAAUCUGUCAAAGAUGGACCAUUUUUAACCCCAUGUUAGGACUUGUCUUUAACCACACUAUACUAAUUAUUUAACUCCCUAAACCCGUUAGAGUUUGGAGUAAUAUAAACAAAAGACGAGGGUAGAAUAAAAGACAUAAACUAAACUAACACCUAUACACUAGUCGGGAAUACCUCCUAUAUUCCACCUCAUGUCCAGUUCACUAGUCGGGAACACCUCGAUCUACCUGCUUCGUCGACUAAACAAUCGCGUAGUAGUUUACAACAGAAACAUAAAGAAGAACGAGGUACUUAAUGGGUAGUUAUACCACGUAUCUAUCUUUAAAGAGUAUCUAGGACCAAAGUACGAACGUGGAAACCAGGCGUACCAAAAACACCCCUAUACCAUGGCCUGAUCUCGCAUCUCCGACUACUAAAGAACUACGUAUGUCUAACACCUACGGUACAGACUUUGACAAGUUAAAACCUACUGAGUUUGGCCGAGAUCGAUCGUUAGAGAGAGAGGAAGAGCCACAUACACGCGCGGACACGUAGGUAACGUACAUUUUAGUGCAAAAGUUUGAGAAGAUGACAGACUAUCUGACUGGAACUUAGGUGGUUGUGUAACAGAGUCAAAAGGUACGAGAUAGAUCAUGAUCAAGGAUUGAAGGAUAUGUAUAUCCUCAUAAGACGAACGAAACCAACGAUUUGGUUUUAUGGUACCAACCCACUGCAGGCAGACAGGACCCAAUGCAAUCGUAUGAUCAUGUUGUGUCGAUCAGUAUUGUUCCAAUCAAGUAGCAUAUGACGCGAACUAUAUUUACGAAUCGAAGAUUGUUGUUCAUUAAACCCUUAUUUAAGAAGGUAGUCAAAUUAUACUAAAGACAACUAUCUAAACAGAUCAUGACAACUUUAACACUAGUUGUAUCAUAUGACAACCCAAGAAUGGGUAUUGUACUCCUAUAGACAAAAAGUUUACACCUUCGGUAGUAUUGUAGUAGACCAGUAUCAAUGUGCGUAACAAAUUUAAAAAGAAGAAACUUAAAGUGUAACAUCAAGAAACAACAUUCUAUUACGUGUACAUAGUUAUGGCUUAUACCUUUCGAAAUCAUUUUCUACAUUUGCACGAGUAGUAUACGAUAGACUAAGGCUCAGCUAAAUCUAAUUAAUACUAAAACAAUAAGACGAAAUACUAAAUGAGUUGGUGAUAACAAAGUACAACUAAUACGUCAUUACGAGGAGAAGAAGGAGCUGGUGGACUUGGUGGUGCGGCCGCCCCGAGGACUUCGUAGUUGAAGUUAUUACCACAACACACAAGACCUUCUACCUUCUCCUUCUUUUGGAUAAAAACAACUUGAUUUAAAAAACAUAAGACAAAACAACAUGCAUAGUAAACUAUCAAAACAUAUCCUUGUUCACUAUGAUAAAACAUCCCGAAAUACCGGACACUACAUUUGUAUAAAUCACGACUUUAUACUUUAAACGUUUUAAACAGCUUUUCCACCUAGUAUACAUACUUAUACACUUACCCGACUUUUCACAUGACCUGGUUGAGGUCCUAACUUAAUUAUAAACUUACAUAUUUUUC
rnacentral:rRNA from 1 species